CAGCCGCCGCGGGAAUACAGAGGGUGCGAGCGUUAAUCGGAUUUACUGGGCGUAAAGCGUGCGUAGGCGGCUUCUUAUGUCGGAUGUGAAAUCCCUGAGCUUAACUUAGGAAUUGCAUUCGAUACUGGGAAGCUAGAGUAUGGGAGAGGAUGGUAGAAUUCCAGGUGUAGCGGUGAAAUGCGUAGAGAUCUGGAGGAAUACCGAUGGCGAAGGCAGCCAUCUGGCCUAAUACUGACGCUGAGGUACGAAAGCAUGGGGAGCAAACAGGAUUAGAUACCCGCGUAGUCCCUGUCUCUUAUAC
rnacentral:rRNA from 1 species